rnacentral:lncRNA from 10 species
GUAAAGUACUUAUGGUUGCUUCACCAUAAUCGAGGAAACUUUCACUAACAAAUUUUAGUGUUGGUACAUUUUGUAUUCUUGGUCAUAAAAUAAGGGGCUUGUGCAGGUGCAUUUCCACCAAUUAGGUCAAUAUUUACAUAGUCAUGCAAAGAUAGUAUCUUUCUUUUUCUAUGAAAAAAUUCCCCAGCAUGUGAGAAUAUUCAACUACCUUUCUACAUUAUUAAGUUUAAGCAUCUUUAUAUUUUUGUCAUCUGCUUUGGAUAGUGCCGUAAUUCUCUAAUGACCAAGAUAAUGAAAAGCCUGUGUGGAAGAGUGGAAGCUGUAGCCACUAGGAACGAAUUCUAUAUCCCUGGAUCAGCCAUCCAUUUCGUGUGUUUUAUGAUCACACAUAGAUGCAUGAGGUAUCUACAAUAAUGCUCUGUGAAAGAAGCAUUGCUUUUCUGGAAAAUGAUUAUGGAGAACAGGGAAGCCUGUUACAUAGUUGGCGGGAAUGUAAAUUGAUACAGCCAUUAUAGAAGGCACUAUGGAGGAUAAAACUACCAUCUGAUCCAGAAAUCCCACUACUUGGUAUGUAUCAAAAGAAAAUGAAGUUAGUAUCUUGAAGAGAUAACCUGCACUCCCAUAUGAACUGCAGCAUUAUUCAUAAUCACCAAGAUAUGGAAACAACUUACAUAUCCAUCAAUAGAUGAAUGAAUAGAGGCAAUGUGACAUCUAUCUAUCUAUCUAUCUAUCUAUCUAUCUAUCUAUCUAUCUAUCAUCAAUCAUCUAUCUAUCUAAUGUACACAUGCACACUUAUACUCACAUAAUAUAUGGUAUUAUUGACAACAGACAUUAUGCUGUACCUUACAUCACCAGUAUUACUUCAUCCAACAAAAAUGAAAAUUUGUAUUUUUGCCCUCUGUUUUUGUAUAUGUAAUGCAAUAAUAUUUCAUAAUCAAAUAUCAUUAAACCUUCAAAAGAUCAUUCUGCUAUUUUUGACAUGAAUGACCUUGGAAGACUUAAUAACCUCUUUGUUUUAUUUUGUUUUUAAUUGACAAACAGUAAUUGUUUAAGAAGUAAUUCUUCUAAGAAGAAGUUUGUCAGUCUUAUUAUUUUCUUCUUUCUCUUUCUUUCUUUUUUUCUUUCUUUUUUUCUCUCUUUCUUUCUUUUUUUCUUUCUUUGUGGAGUACAGUGGGAUGUUUUUAUAUCAUGUGCAAUAACACGAAUGUACCUAGAGGACAUUAUGCUAAGUGAAAUGUUUUCUUGAAUAGAUAUUUAGUGCACUGAUUUUCAGUUUUUAUUAUUUUCUAGAAAAUGC